rnacentral:lncRNA from 1 species
AAAUCUGACCUUUGGCAUUGACUUCAGAUAAUAUUUUAUUAAAAGAAGGCAUGAUUAAUUAAAAGGGUGCGCUUCAGUAUCUAUGAAAAGGAGACCUGGGAAAGCCACAAAAGCAGCCAGGCUAUGGAAAAACCAAUGCAAGGAACCGUUACAGCACAAAGGCUCUCCAUCUGCAGCAAGAAACAACAAAAAGGAACACAGUAUUUCCAAGGAAACAUCUGAGCACAGUGUUGGAGCCAAGAGGAAAAUUGAGUUUCAAACAAUUAGCUACUUCCCAGAGCGUCACUCUGCGGCCGGCGCUCCUGCCGUCCCGACUGCUCCUGGGUGUCUGUGUCGUGCUGGGGAGAACGGCCAACGCAGCUGUCAAGACGUGAAUAUGCUCACGCUCACUUGCCUCCUGCUAAAUAUUCGGGCUAAACUCUUUGGUGUUUUGCUCCUCUCGAUGACCUUUGGUGCUCUCAUAAGUAAGUCUUAG